UUUGAGAAUGUGAAUACGGUCAGCACAACGACAAUUGCCAGAGUCCCAGAGAAACACCAAAUAAGGAUGAAGCAGUUGUACACUGUACCCUUUGAGAGAAAUGGUGAACGUGUGAAAGAACUCCGGUAUCAAUAUGUCCAGAGACAAUACCAUGUGGUGCCUGGGCUUCUUCCUGAGUCGAUUCCAGAUAGAGAGAAACAUAAUUCCUCUGACUUCCUGCGCCAUUGUAGCAUAACUGUAUCCCGUGAUCUGUAUCCCUCUGGAUGGAUUGGACAUUAUGCUGGAUUUCAAGCAAAAAAUGACUCAAGAGGAGCUGAAUGGCAGUUUGAUCAUGACAACACUCAUCUCACAGCUGUACACCAAAAAACACGAAAUUGUAUGCCCAUGGUGGAGGUCCGAACAAAGGAUCCUCUUCGGGAAAGACGUAUUCCUGGUCGUAAUGAUGAUGCACCAUCGAGAGCAUCCUGUUUGGCUGUAUCACCACCUGGUAAGGCAAUUGCACAGCCCUCAACUGCAAGGCUCUCCAGAGGGUAGUGCGGUCAAAACAAUAUAUCCCGGGGGCAAACUACCUGCUCUCCAGGACACCUACAGCACCUGAUGUCACAGGAAGGCCAAAAAGAUCAUCAAGGACAACAGCCACCAGAGCCACUGCCUGUUCACCCCGUUAUCAUCCAGAA